AGAUACAUAAUGAUGCUACUAACUUAGGCACCGAAUGCAGGGGCUGAGUCAUUUCCUAAUGGAACGCAUAGAUGGGUUGAUGUUAGAGAUGUCGCCUAUGCACAUAUUCUAGCCUUUGAAGUCCCUUCUGCAAGUGGAAGAUAUUGCCUGGUUGGGAGAUCUGCCCAUGCCUCUCAGGUCAUCAAGAUUUUGCAUGAACUUUACCCUUCUCACCAGUUUCCUAAUGAGUUGUCCGAUAACAGCAGCCUUAUUAUUUCAGACUGUACAAUAUCCAAUGACAAGGCAAAGAAUUUGGGAGUUCACUUUAUCCCUUUGGAGGUCAGCUUGAAAGAUACGGUUGAGAGCUUCAGGGAGAAGAAUUUAGUUAGUAUCUAAGCCUAUUGUAUUCAAAUUACUAUUAAAUAAAUGUGAAACAUCAUCCUUUGUUUCAAAGUGAUAAAAUAAGUUCAAUCAUGUAACUCGUCAUUUGUUCUUCAUUGUUAAUUUGAUCA